AUGAGAGUGAUUUCCUGAGUCUGAGGGAACAGCUAGAGGAGCAUCGCGUUCUGAGAUUUUAAAUCAUCCCCUUCCGAUAACAACAGGAGGGAAGUAGUGGGUGCAAAUUUUUUUUUUCUUUUGUUGUUUCACGUGACAUGAAAUUCCGGGAUGCAGCAAAGUUCAACCUAACAGGCACAACUGGUUGUUUCUUCCUCGAAAGCGUGUGGAUAUUAUUCGCAGUUGCUCCUAAGUGGGUGUUUGAAAAUUGAAAUAAUUUGGAGGAGACAACACUGGCAAUUUAAGGUUUCAAAAAUGGCUAAGUCUUCUGGGUGUACUUUAAAAACUGAAAGUUACUGUCUACUGAGGUGAAGUAUCAUAUAAAGCUAACAUUUCAUGGUGCAUCAUUUAAGCAAAGUAAGUAAAGCAUAGAGCAAAUUUUAUGACCAAAUCUUAUGAAAUCUUAUAGAGCAAAUCUUAUGAAAUCUUAUAGAGCAAACAAUAUAAUCCCUCUUAUAAACUACAAUUGAAACGAUUUUUUUUCCUCACGAGGUUAUGUAUUUUAUUAAAAAAUAUAAAGAGUGAACUAUUAAUGCAAACUACCGAACUGUAGAAUAUUUUUGGUUUAUGAAACUGUGCAAUUAUUUUGUGGCUUAUUAGUUUAAGCCGGCUGCGUAGUAAUUUAAAGCUGUAAUGUAAAGCUAAAUAAUCAUUAAAAAUUAGGCAGGAGAGGGUGGUGUUUUAAUGAAACUGUACGAAGAUAAAAACAACAAUCAGCGUAAUUUUUGUAAAUUUUAUUGAUAAACCACUUUUAUGCUGUAUAAGUUGAACGACAUUGCUCAUCGUUUAAUUUCAUUUAAAUAUUACUUUCAUUUUAUUUAGAUUGUUACAAUAAUUUUAUUUUUCAUUUUCUGAAUCUCUUUAAUUGGAAAUAACACUCUUUAUUAGUU